rnacentral:rRNA from 1 species
AUGUGGGAGUUAAAUGGUAAUAGUGGGAAGGAAUUGACAGAUCUCAUCCCUCACCUCCCAAAUCUCUCCAAAUUGGACAUAAGGUUUUGUAAAAACAUAAAACACUUGGUAGUGGGGGUGGAUUUGCGACAUACAACAUCGGCUGAAUCAGAGAUGGAUGAAGAUGAAAUAAGAGCAGCAGAAGAGGAAGAGGAUGAAGGGGUGCUGCUCUUCCCAGCUCAUCUCUUUGACUCACUUCAGGAGUUGGUCAUCUGCGAGUCCCAAGAGCUGGUACUGGUGGACCCACCAACUCUCGUUCCUGGAGGAGGAUGGCUCGAAACCUUCCGAUCCCUCCAGAGACUAAGAAUAGAGGGCACCCCAAGGUUUCUAUCCGCCUUCUCAUUUUCCCAUCACAUUUUUCCUUCCUCCCUGAGGUUCCUGAAGCUUGCGGAUGUGAAAGGCAUGGAGACACUGGAGCCCCUCUCGAACCUCUUCUCUCUUACCAGAUUAGAAUUGUGGUAUUGCGGAGAGGAUCUGAAAUGUCACAGCUUGCAGUUUCUCCUUGCCUGUGGCCGGCUCAAGGAAUUACAAGUCAUUGGAAGCCAUAGGUUCUUUGCUGGUUGGGUUCCCAAUCCCUGGCGGGAGCCUGUUUCAUCCACACUGCAGGAGCUCUGCACGGAUGAUGCCAGGGGACUUCUUAGUGCACCUAUCUGCAGCUUCCUAUCUUCCUCCCUCACCAAGCUGGAACUUGGUGGGAUAGGGUCUGAAGGGAUGAAGCGCUUCAGCAAGAAGCAAGAGGCCGCCCUUCAGCUCCUCUCCUCGCUCCAGCAACUUAAGUUUUUGUGUUUCCACAGUCUUCAGCAACUCCCUGCAGGGCUGCACAAGCUUACCAGUCUCGACAAAUUAUUGCUCCGCUUCUGCCCAGCUGUCUCGUCGUUGCCCAACGAUGGCCUCCCGGAUGACCUGGUAGAGCUAGAUGUCUCUCGGUGCUGCAACGCUGAGCUGAAAGAGCAGUGCAGGGGGUUAGAGGAAACCAUCCUAUAUGUCAAAAUAGACUGA